rnacentral:rRNA from 1 species
AGUGAACGCUGGCGGCGUGCUUAAGACAUGCAAGUCGAACGGCAGUCUUCGGACUGUAGUGGCGCACGGGUGAGUGACGCGUAACUGACCUACCCCAAAGUCGCGGAUAACGAUUCGAAAGAAUCGCUAAUACGUGAUGUGCUGUCAGAUUGUGUUCUGCCAGUAAAGAUUGAUUGCUUUGGGUUGGGGUUGCGUUUCAUCAGCUAGUUGGUGGGGUAAAGGCCCACCAAGGCGACGACGGAUAGCCGGCCAGAGAGGGGGGGCGGCCACAGGGACACUGAGACACGGGUCCCACUCCUACGGGAGGCAGCAGUUAGGAAUCUUCCACAAUGGGCGAAAGCCUGAUGGAGCGACGCCGCGUGAGGGAUGAAGGUCUUCGGAUCGUAAACCUCUGAAUCAGGGACGAAAGACACUUCGGUGGGAUGACGGUACCUGAGUAAUAGCACCGGCUAACUCCGUGCCAGCCGCCGCCGUAAUAC